GACGAAAGGAUUCCAGCCUUUUUUCUCACGUGCUGCUCACGUGCGAUAAGAUCGGUCGAGGUCGCCAAUGGUUUCAUCUUACUCCUCUCUCCUUCCAUCACUUCUCCCCCCUUUCGAUUUCCAGAUCCCAAGCCAAAGCCAAAGCCAAACCCUAACCCUAGAAUUCUCCCUCUCGGCGAAGGAUCUUACAAAACUGUAACCUAGAAGGAAGAAGACCCUCGGGAAUUGUCCCAUCCAUGGCGCUCAAUCUCCGGCAGAAGCAAAUGAGCCUCAUCGUCCGCAUGCUGAAUUUGAACCAGCCGCCGAACCCCGGCGGCGGGAUCUCCACUGCCGCCGGCUCCGAGGAGGUCUACAAGAUCCUCAUUAUGGACGCCUUCUGCCGUGGCAUCCUCUCCCCCCUGAUUCAUGUCAAUGACCUCCGGAAGCACGGCAUCACCCUCUUCUUCCCCAUCGACAAGAACCGCCAGACCGUCCCCGACGUCCCCGCCAUCUACUUCGUCCGCCCCACGCCGGAGAACAUCGACCGUAUGGCCGCCGACGCCGCCCGCGGCCUCUACGAGUCCUUCCACCUCAACUUCUCCUCCUCCCUCCCUCGCCCCCUUCUCGAGACGCUCGCCUCCAAGACCCUCGAGAAGGACGCCGUGCACCGGAUCUCCAAGAUCUACGACCAGUACCUCGAGUUCGUCACCCUGGAGGACUCCCUCUUCUCGCUGGCACAGCCCAAGACCUACGUCCAGAUCAACGACCCCUCCGCAGGGGAUCGCGAGAUCGAGGAGAUCGUGGAGAAGAUCGUCAGUGGCUUGUUCUGUGUCCUCGCCACCCUCGGGGUUGUGCCGGUAAUCCGGUGUGCCCGCGGUGGCCCGGCGGAGAUGGUUGCUUCAGCUCUGGACUCCCGCAUCCGUGACCAUUUGGUGAUAAAAAACAAUCUUUUCUCAGAAAGUGGUGGUCUUGCGAGCUCCUUCCAGCGCCCGAUCCUCUGCAUAUUUGAUCGGAAUUUUGAGCUCGCAGUUGGGAUCCAGCAUGACUGGAGCUACCGGCCUCUCGUCCAUGACGUGCUCGGAAUGAAGCUGAACAGAGUGACCAUGCCUGCAGAGAAAGCUGCUGCUAAAUCUUAUGAAUUGGAUGACUCCGAUUCGUUCUGGUUUUCCAACAGUUGGUCUCCAUUUCAGAAGGUUGCUGAAGAAAUCGAGAUCCAACUGAGCAAGUACAAGCAGGACAUUGAUGAGGUGAACAAGCGGACUGGAGGGAAGGAUGGGGUUGAGUUUGAUGGUACUGAUCUGAUUGGGAACACGAAGCAUCUGAUGAAUGCUGUGAACUCACUCCCGGAGCUCACUGAGCGGAAGAAGAUGAUUGACAAGCAUACCAACAUUGCCACCGUGCUGCUGGGUGAGAUCAAGGAGAGGUCUUUGGAUGGUUACUGCAAUCUUGAGAAUGACAUGUUGACCAAAGGAAGUGUAGAUAAGAGUCAAUUGCUUAGUCUUCUUAAGGGGAAGGGCACAAAGGUGGAUAAGCUUCGGCUUUCGAUAACAUACCUUCUCUCUUUGGAGACCACACCACAAUCUGAGGUAGAAGCGAUAGAAGCAGCAUUGAGGGAGUCCGAGGUGGAUACUUGUGCCUUUCAGUAUGUGAAGAAGAUAAAGUCUUUGAAUGCAUCAUUGGCAGCUUCAGCAAGCUCAGCAAGCAGGAGCAACAUUGUGGAUUGGGCUGAAAAGCUUUAUGGGCAGUCCAUUAGUGCGGUGACUGCAGGUAUGAAAAAUCUUUUAUCAGGUGGAAGGCAACUGGCAUUAACAAGGACAGUGGAAGCAUUAAUGGAAGGGAAGCCAAACCCAGAGGUGGAUUCUUACCUGGUGUUUGAUCCACGAGCCCCUAGAUCAGGAUCUGGGUCACAAUUGAGGGGACCGUUCAAAGAAGCAAUUGUAUUUAUGAUAGGUGGUGGAAAUUAUGUUGAAUAUAGGAGCUUGAUGGAGCUAGCACAACGUUCACAGCCUGUCAAGCAUGUCCUAUAUGGUACUACAGAGGUCCUUAAUGGGGAGGAGUUUGUUGAGCAGCUCAUAGAGUUGGGGCAGAAGAUGGGUCUAGGAAGCAGUGGAGUGGGUACAUCCCAAUAAGGGGUGUAAGUUUUGCAUCAUGUGCUGUUUGUGGUUGAGAGUUGUGGCAGAUAAUUGGUACUCAGACUUAAGAAGCUAAUAGAGAGCUUUCUUUAUCUAGAAUAGCCAGAUUUUCUGGCAAUCUUAGAUGAAGCGAUAAGAUGCUGACAUUCUUUGUGACAGGAAACUUGCCGUCUGUACUCAAGUCUGUUUGAUGAUAAUUGAUAAUGGAUUACAACGUAGACAGACCAUGUAGUGAAUCACUUGUCUGUCUAGUUUCAGAUGAAUUCCCAGCAUCCAUGAUAUAAAUGUGAGAUGAAAUGUAGAUUUUGUAAUUCGGUACCUCUAUUCCACAUUCGGCAGAUUUGUCUAAAGAUAGGGUUUGAGGAUGGAUUGACAAUGCAGCAUUCCCAUUGAAAUGUUGUAAGAUGGAAGCCUUUAUAUGACACAGUGGAGCUAGUGCAUCUUUGACAUUCAGAUGUAAAAUUUUAAGGACUCGGUUCACGAUGGAUCAACAGUAGGCUGGUUUCCUACUUGGCAGAUGGAUGGUAGUUCAAAGCAUAUGUGAACUACUAUCUUGCUAGUUCGCAAAUGCUUGUGCAGCACAGUUAGAUUAUUGCUAUUUGGCAAUGGAAUAUUGAAAUUGGUUUCUUGUAAAACACCUUUAUUACUUGUAAAACACCUUUGUUUCGUGCUUCAAGAUUAAUUGCAAUUGUAGUUGAAACGUUCUUUGCUUCUGUUUCA